CAUCUAUUUAUUUUUUAAAAAUAAAUAUUUUAAAAUAAAUAUUUUGUUUUAUUGAAGUUUUUAGAAGAUAGAUGCAAACCAAAGUAAGAGAAUAAUAAAAAAAAACCUAUGUUCAUUUUAAUGGGGAAAGUUACAGGAAGGGGUUAACCAGAAUGAUACAGAUGCCUGAUUCAUGUCUUCUCUCCCCGCUUUCUCUUUUUUCCUGCAGAGCAUCAGAACAGCUGAAAACAGGUAUGUUUUGCCUAAUAUUUAUCUUUCAAUGUGUUAAACUACUUUUGGAACUGCAUUGGACAAUGUUGUAGAUAGAAGUGGAACUAGAACAGGGGGUGAGGUGUCCGUUUCCCUAAAUUCCUUUAUCAUUAUCAAAAGGUCCCAUCCUUUCGAGAUUUUGAGGAGGGAGGUGGUUCACUGCAAAAUAUUUCUACAGCCAGUCCAGGAAGCACUGCUGCCUGUCAAAACAAUUAGUAAGCCCCAAGUGCUGGAUCACAUUUUAUGGGGUCUCUGAUUGGUUGGGAUCACUGAAGAAGAACGAAGCAGGAAAUAAAUGACAUCAAAACAGCCACAGGGAGACAAAAUUGUAUGGGAAAGCAGUAUAGGAAAAAUAGGGUUUAAGGGGUUUAGGGGUUUAGCUCCAGGAAGUUGCUAAUUACUAGAUGACAAUAAAUCAGGAGGACUUUUGCAACAACAGUAAGUGGGAUCGAUUAUUCACUUACUAUCUCUUCAUCAGGAAGAAUGGGGCAUUUCCUGAGUUUGAAAGCGGUUUUCUGGAACUGGAACAGAGGAUAAGGCAUUUUUCAGAGAAGAGGAUGGUCUUGCAAGAGGUUCUACUGGCAUUUAAAGAGAUUUUGCAGCUGGAGCUGGGGAACGAUGCAGAGCCAUCUUUCUUAUCUGGGUGCCAAGGAAGGUCAUCAUUCUACUCCAGAUUUCUACAUCUUCACAGAAGAUGUGGAGGAAAAAUAGAGCUGGUUCAGGUAAAGGGAUUUGCAAAUAUGUCUGGUCUCGUGUCCUGUUCUCAACCAGCUGAGUAUGGGAAGCCGCCAAGCAGGCCUUGAGCACAGUAGCUCUCCUGCAAUUUCCAGUAGCUGGUGUUCAGAAAUCUACUGCCUUUGACCAUGGAAGCAGACGAUCGCCAUCAUGGCUAGUAGCCACUGAUUGUCUUAUCCUCCAUGAAUGGCAGCAGGGGAAGGAACAAUAAUAACAAUAAUAAUUUUAUUUAUGUAUAUCCGGCCCAUCUGGUUGGGUUUUCCCAGCUACCCUGGAUGGCUCCCAACAGAACAUUAUUAAUAAUAAUUAUUUAAAAGCAAUAAAACAUCAAACAUUAAAAACUUCCCUAAACAGUGCUGCCUUCAGAUGUCUUCUAAAAGCCAAGUAGUUGUUUAUUUCCUUGACAUCUGAUGGGAGGGGGUUCCACAGGGCAGGUGCCACUACCGAGAAGGCCCUCUGCCUGGUUCUCUGUAACCUCACUUCUCGCAAUGAGGGAACUGCCAGAAGGCCCUCAGCGCUGGACCUCAGUGUCCGGACUGAACAAUGGGGGUGGAGAUGCUCCUUCAGGUAUACUGGGCCAAGGCCGUUUAGGGCUUUAAAGGUCACCAUCAGCACUUUGAAUUGUGCUUGGAAACGUACCGGGAGCCAAUGUAGGUCUUUCAGGACCGGUGUUAUGUGGUCUAGGCAGCCACUCCCAGUCACCAGUCUAGCUGCCGCAUUCUGGAUUAAUUGUAGUUUCCGGGUCACCUUCAAAGGUAGCCCCACAUAGAGCGUAUUGCAGUAGUCGAAGCAGGUGAUAACCAGAGCAUGCACCACUCUUGUGCGACAGUCCACGGACAUGUAGGGUCUCAGCCUGCAUACCAGAUAGAGCUGGUACACAGCUGCCCUAGACACAGAAUUGACCUGCACCUCCAUGGACAGCUGAGAGUCCAAAAUGACUCCCAGGCUCCGCACAUAGUGGACAAGGUAAUCCCUUAAGUUACCUAGUUCUGAGCCAUUAAGGUUUUAUAAACCAAUAGUUUAUAAAAUUGAUGUUUUUGAAUUAUGGUGCUGGAGGAGAGACUUGAGAGUCCCAUGGACUGCUAGAAAAUCAAACCUCUCCAUUCUGAAGGAAAUCAGCCCUGAGUGCUCACUGGAAGGACAGAUCCUGAAGCUGAGGCUCCAAUACUUUGGCCACCUCAUGAGAAGAGAAGACUAAACAACAACAACGAAUCAAUAGUAUCACCUUGAACUUGGACCAGUAAUGAAAUGGGAGCUGGUGCAACCAUGAUAUGAUUGUGAUACAUAGUGUUCUGCUUGACCACAAGCUGAAAGGCCUCUGCAUCUGUUCAGAGGUGCCGUCUUCCUUGAUGCUUCACAUGUCAUUGGAAGGAAGAGCGCCAUGUGUCAACAAGCAAGGCAGAAGUGGCCCUGUGUUCCUUCAUCCUUGUUGACUGUCUUUUGUGUUUCAGGAACCUGUGUCGUUCGAGGAGAUAGCUGUGCAUUUCACGGAGGGUGAAUGGGCUCUCCUGGACCCCCCUCAGAGAGCCUUAUACAGGGAUGUCAUGCAGGAGAACUAUGAAAACGUGACCUCUUUGGGUAAGAAUUCAUAGAAUCAUAGAGUUGGAAGAGACCACAAGGGCCAUCGAGUCCAACCCCCUGCCAAGCAGGAAACACCAUCAGAGCACUCCUGACAUACGGUUGUCAAGCCUCUGCUUAAAGACCUCCAAAGAAGGAGAUUCCUUUAUCUUGUAUUUUGAGUGUGGAGUGUGUGCAUCAUUGAACCCAGUGGAUUCCCUCCUGGUGUUAUGGGAUUCAAGAAAGUUUGCAUGGUUUUGUUUAUUUACAAGUGCCUUCAGACCAUACCUUGAGACCAUGCUUACCUUUUCCAAAUGAUUCCCCCCCCACACACACUCUCUAUUCACACAGCUGCUUCUUUGUCUAUCUGCAGCUUUGAUGCUGUUUUUCUUUUUUAAAACAAGGGCUUCAUGGGAAGGCAAUCACAGCCAAUCAGAAAUCACACAGGUAGCAGAAGAACAAAUUCAUUCUGGCUACACAGUGGCAUUAUGAAGCCAAAUCAGAGCGAGGACAGGAAGCCCUGCCUUUACUCUGAUUUGGCUUAAUAACAUUAUAGUAUAGAAAAAUGUGAUCAGGCCCCUAGCAUUGUCAAAUUAAUCUGCUCGGUUAGAUUUGGCUAUGUUGAUUGUCUAUGAUUCAGAUUUUCUUUAUUUGUAGCCAGUUGCCAAUAUAACAAAACAAGCAAGACAAUACAAGAAUAUGUUAAACAUAUACAUUUUUUUGUAUCCAACACUGUCAUUCCACUUGCACAAUGAAACUCUGUUUGCACAACCAAACUUCCCCCUCCUCUCACCUGCAGCAAGCCUAGUGUACCCUCAAAAUCUUCUCCAGAGGGUUGGAGGACUCUCUGGAGCAGAUUUUGGGGACUUGUGGGGAAAAGAGAAGUCCCAUUGUGUUAGCAACUUGUGUGGCGUUGAACACAACCAUUUGUCUUCUAAAUUUACUCCAAUUCAUUUACGUUAAAUUUAAAAAAAAAUCACAUUGGGAGUCUCAGCACUGUUUUGGUUCAAAAAAGUAUCUUAUAGCUUCUUAAUGCCAGUGCAUAUAAAUAACAAAUGUGUGUAUAUCAGCCAACAACCAUCUAAUUUCAAAAUCAUUUUAGUUAUUGACCCUCUAGAAAAUCCUGACAUGAAUAGAGGAAUCCAUCCAAUUUGGCCGUGUCAAAGUGUCAUAAAGCGAAAUGAUGCAGGAAUAACAACUAAAGGCGUGGUGUUAAAUUUAUUAGGAUGGUUCAGGAAAAAAACUUCAAGUUGAAGUAACAGCACAGUUUUUCUUCUUUCUGAUUUCACUUUUGCCCCCAGUUCUUUCCCUCACCGAUUCGGAUCGAAACUCCUGGGUGGAGGAAGGGGACGAGUUGAUCUCCCUGGGUCUACACCCUCCGGGCUCUGAGAAAGGGAACAAACAUGAAGUCACCAGAACAGGUGAGAGAAAAGGAAGUCCAAGACAGACCAGCACUGUCAUUGGCUACUGGCAAUGGUGGCUAGGAUACGCCUCCAGCGUUUGUGACUGUAUAAUUCUGAAUGCUAGGAAUUGCAACUAAAGAGAGUGCUUUCGCACCCAGGUCCUGAUUGCGGGCUUUCCAUUGGCUAGCUGCUGAGAGAAACUAUGGCAGAGUUGAUCCCAGGAGAGAGCAUUCCAUAGACUAGUGGCUACUAUAGAGAAGACCUGUUCUGUUGUCCUCACUCUCCAGACCCCUCUCUGAGUGGCACUCAGCUGACUGUCU
ensembl:lncRNA